rnacentral:rRNA from 1 species
AUUGAACGCUGGCGGCAGGCCUAACACAUGCAAGUAGAGCGAGCGGCGGAGGGGUGAGUAAUGUAUGGGGAGUGCCUGAUAGAGGGGGAAAACUGAGGGAACCGGUAGCUACUACCGCAUACUAUCGGAUAACCCAUAUGGGAUUAGAUAGUUGUUGAGUUAAUGUCUCCCCAAGGCGACGAUCCAUAGAUGGUCUGAGAGGAUGAUCAGCCACACUGGAACUGAGACACGGCCCAGACUCCUACGGAGGCAGCAGUGGGGAAUAUUGCACAAUGGGCGCAAGCCUGAUGCAGCCAUGCCGCGUGUAUGAAGAAGGCCCUAGGGUUGUAAAGUACUUUCAGUCGGGAGGCGUUACCGACAGAAGAAGCACCGGCUAACUCCGUGCCAGCAGCCGCGGUAAUAC